UACGGAGGGUGCAAGCGUUAUCCGGAUUUACUGGGUUUAAAGGGUGCGUAGGCGGCCUUUUAAGUCAGUGGUGAAAGCCUAGUGCUUAACACUAGAAUUGCCAUUGAAACUGAAAGGCUUGAGUCAAAGAGAGGUAAGCAGAAUUUAUGGUGUAGCAGUGAAAUGCUUAGAUACCAUAAGGAAUACCAAUAGCGAAGGCAGCUUACUGGCUUUGUACUGACGCUGAGGCACGAAAGCGUGGGGAGCAAACAGG
rnacentral:rRNA from 1 species